AUGAAGUAAUACUGCCCAGAUUCAGAGCAGA
rnacentral:piRNA from 1 species